rnacentral:hammerhead_ribozyme from 1 species
GUACCGCUGAAGAGUCACAAACUAAGACGAAACAGCUGUCCAGUAC